UUCAGCAUCAGAGUUCUGUUGCCUCAGCUAUAUGUGUGUCCAUGUUACAUGUGUUUCUCUACAUGUAACCUAGUCACACGUAUUCCUGGUGUAUACCUAUGUCUCCACAUUUAC
rnacentral:precursor_RNA from 15 species